rnacentral:rRNA from 1 species
GCUUGCAUCAUGAUUUACAUUUGAGUGAGUGGCGAACUGGUGAGUAACACGUGGGAAACCUGCCCAGAAGCGGGGGAUAACACCUGGAAACAGAUGCUAAUACCGCAUAACAACUUGGACCGCAUGGUCCGAGUUUGAAAGAUGGCUUCGGCUAUCACUUUUGGAUGGUCCCGCGGCGUAUUAGCUAGAUGGUGGGUAACGGCUCACCAUGGCAAUGAUACGUAGCCGACCUGAGAGGGUAAUCGGCCACAUUGGGACUGAGACACGGCCCAAACUCCUACGGGAGGCAGCAGUAGGGAAUCUUCCACAAUGGACGAAAGUCUGAUGGAGCAACGCCGCGUGAGUGAAGAAGGGUUUCGGCUCGUAAAACUCUGUUGUUAAAGAAGAACAUAUCUGAGAGUAACUGUUCAGGUAUUGACGGUAUUUAACCAGAAAGCCACGGCUAACUACGUGCCAGCAGCCGCGGUAAUACGUAGGUGGCAAGCGUUGUCCGGAUUUAUUGGGC